UGGGGAAUAUUGGACAAUGGGGGCAACCCUGAUCCAGCAAUGCCGCGUGUGUGAAGAAGGCCUGAGGGUUGUAAAGCACUUUCAGUGGGGAGGAGGAUAUAUAGGUUAAGAGCUGAUAUAUUGGACGUUACCCACAGAAGAAGCACCGGCUAACUCCGUGCCAGCAGCCGCGGUAAUACGGAGGGUGCGAGCGUUAAUCGGAAUUACUGGGCGUAAAGGGUGCGUAGGUGGUUUGUUAAGUUAGUUUUGAAAUUCCUGGGCUUAACCUGGGCUGGAGGACUAAUACUGAUGAACUUGAGUAUAGGAGAGGGUAGUGGAAUUUCCGGUGUAGCGGUGAAAUGCGUAGAGAUCGGAAGGAACACCAGUGGCGAAGGCGGCUACCUGGCCAGAUACUGACACUGAGGCACGAAAGCGUGGGGAGCAAACAGG
rnacentral:rRNA from 1 species